rnacentral:miRNA from 13 species
UGCAUCACAUGUAACCUCCCUA